rnacentral:rRNA from 1 species
ACCAGACUCCUACGGGAGGCAGCAGUGGGGGAUAUUGGACAAUGGGGGAAACCCUGAUCCAGCGACGCCGCGUGAGUGAAGAAGUAUUUCGGUAUGUAAAGCUCUGUCAGCAGGGAAGAAAGAAAUGACGGUACCUGACCAAGAAGCCCCGGCUAACUACGUACCAGCAGCCGCGGUAAUACGUAGGGGGCAAGCGUUAUCCGGAUUUACUGGGUGUAAAGGGAGCGCAGACGGCAGUGCAAGUCUGGAGUGAAAGCCCGGGGCCCAACCCCGGAACUGCUCUGGAAACUGUGCGGCUAGAGUACUGGAGGGGCAGGCGGAAUUCCUAGUGUAGCGGUGAAAUGCGUAGAUAUUAGGAGGAACACCAGUGGCGAAGGCGGCCUGCUGGACAGUAACUGACGUUGAGGCUCGAAAGCGUGGGGAGCAAACAGGAUUAGAUACCCUGGUA